GUGCUGAACCAGCAGCAGCAGCAGCAGCAGCAGAUGUAGACNGCUUGGACAUUUGUCCAUUGGUGCUGAACCAGCAGCAGCAGCAGCAGCAGCAGAUGAAGAACACAUCCAAGCCAAUGACGGGGAUCUACUUUUGACUACCACUGAAAAAGAAGAAAGUAGGGCCCACGACAGUGACUACUCUUUAUCCCAAUUAUCUGUCCAACAACCUACCUCCACCAUUGAUGACAUAUUUGGGCUAGGAUUGUCCGUUUGUCCAUUGGUGCUGAACCAGCAGCAGCAGCAGCAGCAGCAGAUGAAGAACACAUCCAAGCCAAUGACGGGGAUCUACUUUUGACUACCACUGAAAAAGAAGAAAGUAGGGCCCACGACAGUGACUACUCUUUAUCCCAAUUAUCUGUCCAACAACCUACCUCCACCAUUGAUGACAUAUUUGGGCUAGGAUUGUCCGUUGCUCCUGCUCCUCCUCCAUUGAAGCUAAACGCUAAACCUGUGCUUGAUCCAGCCACUUUCCAGCAGAAAUGGCGCCAACUUCCUGUUGCAGUAUCACAGGUUCUUUCCAUAUAAUCAUAUUCCUCUCAUUUAUCCAUCCAUUAUAACUGAUGAAUAAAGAUGCUCAAUUUGCAUAUUAAAUUUGCUCAUAUAUGGCUCAUAUGCUAAAGUUUAAUAAAAAUAGCUAAAAACAAAACCGCUUCAACAAUUUAGAGGUCACCAGGACAACAUCUUAAAUUGCUUUAUAUUUCUCAUGCUCAUGCAUGCAUAAAAUUAAAACUUCGAUUUUAUUUUAUGUUUGAUUUUAUAUGUUAUGCCUAAAUGCAAGAAAUAGCUAUUUACUUUCUUUUAUUUGUUACUUAUGGCAUCCUUCUUUCAUCGUCU
rnacentral:lncRNA from 1 species